GACCUGGUAGCACAAUGUCUGUGCGUCUGCAUAGAGUAAGGAGGGGAGCGAAGAAUAUUCUGCAGAAGAUCCCCGUUCGAGCCGGGGUCAGGUCA